UCUGUAACUGAUCAAACCCUGUUUGGAUGCAAGAGCAAACCAACAUCCCUCAGGGCCAGAACCUACCAAAACCUUGGCAAAUCAGGGGAGGCAGAUCCGAUGAAGGUAUGGCUUCUGACAAGGAUGGAGGAAGACAAGAAUGCAUUGAAACGAAAAGACCAGAGAAGAUUCAAGUGGUGAAAUGACUGCAUAGCAGUGGACAAAGAGAGCAUUGUAUUAUGCUGUGUCGUUAAAAGGGGAGUUUUCUGUCUUGG